CCCUUAAUGAUGUCACCUGUUAAAUCGACUUCAAUCAGUGUAGAUGAAGGGGAGGAAGACGGGGUUAAAGAAGGAUGUUUAAGCCUUGAGACAGUUGAGACAUGGAUUGUGUCUGUGUGUCAUUCAGAGGGUGAAUGGGCAAAACAAAAUAUUAAGUGCCUUUGAACAGGGUAGUAGGUGGUAGUAGGUGGUAGUAGAUGGUAGUAGGUGGUAGUAGAUGGUAGUAGGUGGUAGUAGGUGGUAGUAGGUGGUAGUAGGUGGUAGUAGGUGGUAGUAGGUGGUAGUAGGUGGUAGUAGGUGGUAGUAGGUGGUAGUAGGUGGUAGUAGGUGGUAGUAGAUGGUAGUAGGUGGUAGUAGGUGGUAGUAGAUGGUAGUAGGUGGUAGUAGGUGGUAGUAGGUGGUAGUAGAUGGUAGUAGAUGGUAGUAGGUGGUAGUAGGUGGUAGUAGGUGGUAGUAGGUGGUAGUAGGUGAUAGUAGGUGGUAGUAGGUGGUAGUAGGUGGUAGUAGGUGGUAGUAGGUGGUAGUAGGUGGUAGUAGAUGGUAGUAGGUGGUAGUAGGUGGUAGUAGGUGGUAGUAGGUGGUAGUAGGUGGUAGUAGGUGAUAGUAGGUGGUAGUAGGUGGUAGUAGGUGGUAGUAGGUGAUAGUAGGUGGUAGUAGGUGGUAGUAGGUGGUAGUAGGUGGUAGUAGGUGGUAGUAGGUGGUAGUAGGUGAUAGUAGGUGGUAGUAGGUGGUAGUAGGUGGUAGUAGAUGGUAGUAGGUGG